GAUGAAGAACGUAGCGAAAUGCGAUAAGUAAUGUGAAUUGCAGAAUUCAGUGAAUCAUCGAAUCUUUGAACGCACAUGGCGCCCGCCAGCAUUCUGGCGGGCAUGCCUGUUCGAGCGUCAUUUCAACCCUCGAGCCCCCCCGGGGGCCUCGGUGUUGGGGGACGGCACACCAGCCGCCCCCGAAAUGCAGUGGCGACCCCGCCGCAGCCUCCCCUGCGUAGUAGCACACACCUCGCACCGGAGCGCGGAGGCGGUCACGCCGUAAAACGCCCAACUUUCUUAGAGUUGACCUCGGAUCAGGUAGGAAUACCCGCUGAACUUAAGCAUAUCAAUAAGCGGAGGA
rnacentral:misc_RNA from 1 species